GAGACUUCGGUCAAAUCUUGUUUAAUCUUAGUGGCGGACGGGUGAGUAACGCGUGGGCAACCUGCCUCAUACUGGGGGAUAGCAGUUGGAAACGACUGAUAAUACCGCAUAAGCGCACGGUGUCGCAUGACACAGUGUGAAAAACUCCGGUGGUAUGAGAUGGGCCCGCGUCAGAUUAGCUAGUUGGUAAGGUAAUGGCUUACCAAGGCGACGAUCUGUAGCCGGACUGAGAGGUCGGACGGCCACAUUGGGACUGAGACACGGCCCAAACUCCUACGGGAGGCAGCAGUGGGGGAUAUUGCACAAUGGAGGAAACUCUGAUGCAGCGACGCCGCGUGAGUGAAGAAGUAUUUCGGUAUGUAAAGCUCUAUCAGCAGGGAAGAAAGGCCCGCAAGGGAGAUGACGGUACCUGACUAAGAAGCCCCGGCUAACUACGUGCCAGCAGCCGCGGUAAUACGUAGGGGGCAAGCGUUAUCCGGAUUUACUGGGUGUAAAGGGAGCGCAGACGGUUAUGCAAGUCUGAAGUGAAACCCCACGGCUCAACCGUGGGCUUGCUUUGGAAACUGUAUAACUAGAGUACUGGAGAGGUAAGCGGAAUUCCUAGUGUAGCGGUGAAAUGCGUAGAUAUUAGGAGGAACAUCGGUGGCGAA
rnacentral:rRNA from 1 species